GGCAUUGCCACACAGCAGAAGUUCUCGCCCUCCACAGCAGACGGUGCAGUAGGACUGGUAACCAUCAUCAUCGUACAUAGGAAAAUACACCUGGACCAGUUCUUCUGUGUUUGGCUGUGUCUCUUUCCUGUCCCCAAACCCAGCCGGUCGAGGCAGAUGGCCGCCUGUCCUAAGCCUGGUUCUGCUAGAGGUUUUUUCCUGUUAAGGGCAAGUUUUUCCUCUCCACUGCUGCCGGUGUGCUGCUCAGGAUGGGAAACUGUGAUGAAGUGAAAAUUCAACACAAUCUGCUGCUUCUUUAGAUUGAUUGUUCUUUUUUUCAUGUACAGUGCUCUGAGAUGAUGUCUGUUUUGACUUGGCGCUAUAUAAAUAAACUGAACUGAAUUAACUGUAACUUUUACAUUAUAUGAAGUAAACUUGAACUACAAUUUU